ACAUUUUUGGUCCACUGCUUGGGAUCCUUCACCUGGUACAGCCUUCGCUCUAGGCUGAGUGAGCAGCCUAGGCAGCCUGACUUAAGGAUGAAUCUGAGCCGCCAGUCCCUAACGAAGCAUCUCCAAGAACCCAGUUGGGGGGAAAGCAUGAGGAGAUGGGUGAGGAGUGGGCAAGAAUCAAAACACCACUUGGCAACAAAGCCCAAGCUCUGCGUUUAGCGAUGUAAAACCUGGAUUGACAGAUCACUGGAGGAUCACUGCCACCAAGGUCCCUCGGAUGCAGGGCUCGCCACAGUCCUCCUGUGCUAGGACUUUCCGCUCCUCCGACCUGGAGGAUCCUCCUUGUCCUCGGACUCCAGGCUUCCGCUUUCGUCUCCCGCUGGGCUGCAGCCCGCCCCCGCCCGCCCUGGGCACAGCUGCGUUACUCACGUCCUUCUUCACUUCAGUGAGGUCCUCCUCGGUGAGGGACGGUGCGGUGGGCUCCAUGGUGGAGGCGGGAGAUGGCGCUUCUUCCGGGUCCGGGAGCUCGGGCUGCGCCGCCCCGCCCUGGCUGGGGGCUUCGGCCUCCGGGUAAUGGGGAAGAAGGAGAGGAGGCGGAGCGGGUCGGGAGAAAGACGGCCGCCCCUUCGGGAACAGAGGGACUCGGGGGUCAAACCGUAGCGCUUCCGGCCCCGCCUCUGAGGUCGACGGCGACGCGAAUCUACGCGACGCGACGCGGAGCUCGGAGCAGCGUUCCUUCCCUCUCGUAGAGGCUCAGGCGCAGGCACCGCCCCACGGCGAGGCGCGUCGCUUAGCAGAGCCCGCCCUGUCUCUGCGGCAGCCUAUCGACGCCAGCCCGCGGGCCGAUCCUGUUCCCGCCCCCGACCGGAGCCUUUCGGGUGGCUCCGCCCACAGCGGGCGUUUCCUCAAGCCACGCCUGCGCAGGUCGUCGGGGGAGACUGAUGAAGAGACGACUAUCCCCAGACCGUAUUUUAACUACUAUGGCGCUGUGUAAGAAGCAACCUGAGAAGUGUGGAUGAAAAGCUACAGGUAGAGCCCUGGGCCCAAGACGGUGGCUUGGACAACAUGCUAAAUAAACUAUAAACUAGAUGGUAUUUGAAGCUACGAGAGUAGAUAAAAAUGACAGGAGGACCAAGGAGAAACUUGGGAACGCCAAUGUUUAAGAAACGGGAAAGCAAAAAAAAAAAAAAACACACACAAAAAAACAAUGUAACCAGAGCCACAAAAACCAGAAUCACAGCAAGGGAUUCUGAUGUUUACAUUAUGUCCUGUUUCCAUGUUGACACAUUACACAAGGACAGUUUUUUUCUAAUUGCUUAAUUUUUCAUCAUCUUCCAUCCGAUUUACUGAACCAUCCUUAACUUUAGGAUGAAUCCUUUCAUUUAACAAAUGUGUUUUGAAUGUCCACUAUGUGCCAGACACUGUUCUAGGUGCUAGGAAAACAGCUGUGAACAAAACCAAUAAAAAUCUCUUUCCUCAUG
rnacentral:lncRNA from 1 species